GAUGAACGCUAGCGGGAGGCUUAACACAUGCAAGUCGAGGGGCAGCACGAGGUAGCAAUACUUUGGUGGCGACCGGCGCACGGGUGAGUAACACGUAUGCAACCUACCUUUAACUGGGGCAUAGCCCCGAGAAAUCGGGAUUAAUUCCCCAUAUCAUUCCGGUGAGGCAUCUCACUGGGAUGAAAGCUCCGACGGUUAAAGAUGGGCAUGCGUGACAUUAGCUUGUUGGUGAGGUAACGGCUCACCAAGGCUACGAUGUCUAGGGGUUCUGAGAGGAUGAUCCCCCCA
rnacentral:rRNA from 1 species